GCGCCGGGACGGCCCGGCGCUGGCAAAGCAAGGCGGGACGGCCCG
rnacentral:ncRNA from 1 species